CUUCACCUCCACCAAUGAGAUCUCCGUCGCCUCCACCGGUGAGAUCACCUCUACCGCCAUUAUCACAUUCUCCGAGGAGAUCUUCGUCUCCCGCACCCACCCACCUUCCACGUGGAUCACCUGUACCCAGUCAGACCCGUCAUUCAGAUAAUUUCUUUGCACGCAUGACUGGUAUUAUUAGAGAGGAGUUGGGAACGAUGCGACGUUAUUUUACGACAGAGGUAGUAGCACUGCGAGAAGAGAUAGGGGUGCUGCGACGGGAUUUUACGACAGAGGUAGUAGCAUUGCGAGAUGAGAUUGGAGUGCUGCGACGAGAUUUAGGAGAGCUUUAUACUGAGGUUGCAGCACUUUGGGGCGACGUAGCAGGCUUUCGAGGUUUCGUCAGAGGGAGUGUCGCGGAGACUGGUGUUCCUCGAGAUUGGUGGGCAACGGCCGCAGGAUUCGAUGAGUUUUUUUAUUUGGUGCCAGAGCCCAGAGGGAGGGGGUGGAGGUCGGGUCGGAGGUGCCGGAGGAGGCCGGGAUGGCCGGGGUGGAGGUGUCGAAGGAGGUCGGGAUGGCCGGACAGGAGGUGCCAGAGGAGGUCGGGAUGAUAAAGGGGGUGGAGGGAGGGACAAGGGUGCUAAAGGGAGAGACAGGAGUGCCGGAGGGGGUGACCGAGGCGGUAGCGGAGGGGACACCAGAGGUGGUAGUAGAGGGGGAUAAGGGGGUUACGGAGGACGAGAGGACACCAGAGAUGACGGAUAACGAUGUAGUAUUCGUGUCGGAGGAGGCGACGGAGGUGCCGAUGGGUAAGAAGCAUGCUAAUGAUGCGCUAGAGCUGAUGGUCGGUAAGAGAUCAAGAUUGCUGUCACAGUACAUUGUUUCCCCCAUACACGGCCGAGGGGAAGAGAAGGGGGUUUGUGGAUGGGACGUUUCCCAAUCUUUUUCGUGACGUCGACCCGAUCAGACAGAAGGCGUUCGAUGAUUGGUUCAAAUCCCUUAAGUCCGAGUAAGUAUUUUUAUUAUUUUGCUACUAUUUUUUUGUAUUUUUCGUAACUUUUUUAUUUUUAUUUUUCAGAGAUAGUUAUACCAUCGGCUGUAUGACCGUGCCAACCACUGAAAAAUGGUUUGAAGAUGUACUGAUGACCUCAGCUUGGCUCGUCGAUGAUUUAAGUUUUUUGAGUUUUCAUUUAUUAUAUUUAUAGAAGUUCUUGGUUCAUUUACUUAAAUGACUCUAUCUUUUUUGUUGGUGUCUUUUUUUUUUUUUUUUGUUUCAGCAUAUUGACUUGGCUAUGGAAUUGUUACGCGAUCGGGCUCAGAGAUACCCGAGAUCUUAUGAUAGUCCUAGUCGAGUUAUCCUGAGUUCUGAAUUUGUUCGUAUCGUAGAUAUUGAGCAUCACAAGCUCCUAAGCAAGGGGAAUGAAUAUGUUCUGGCCGAGUACAUGCUAGAGUGGGUGAUUGGGCUACAGCCAAGGUGCGAAAAGUCGUGGACGGAUUGUACACAUAUGUACAUUCCAGUGAUCACAAACUCAUACUGUUUUUCAGUGAAAAUCGUAUUUGCUAAUUCCACUAUGUAUGUGUACGACUCUGAUCACAGCUGUUUGACACAAAAUCUACUGGAGCCAAUGGUUGUGAUCGUGCCCAUGAUGGCUAAUCAGGCGAUGAUUCGAGUAAAUGACAGAUUAGCUAUUGUGCGGAACAUGACGACGACAAAACAAGAAAGAUCGUAAGGACUUAAAACUUUUUAAUUUUAACAUUUAAUUUUCAGUUAUAUGUUAUCGAACUAAUAUAUUCUUCUUCGGUUGUAGGGGCGAUUGUGGCUUAUUUGCAAUAAAGUACAUAGAGUUUUUGAGCAUUGGUCGCAAUGUUGAUACAAUAAAUUAGUCUUGGAUUGAUAUGUGGAGACAUAAAUUAGCUUGCGACUUGUAUGAAUAUAACUGUGAUCCUUAGUGCAUUGUAUAUUAUUUUAUUGAAAUGUAAAUGUUGUUUACUUCAGUAUGAUUCGU
rnacentral:lncRNA from 1 species